CCAGCACCCGAAUCAACCAUCCUGCUAAUCUUCACACCUCCGAUUCUGCAAUUCACUUUUUCGUUGUUGUCUGGACCCACAGUGAAAAUAUAGUGUACACUUUCUUCAUCACCUUUUGAAGAGACAAUCAUCAUUGUUGGCGUAGUGGCCAAUGCGCCCACAUCGAAAACAUUCACCCUUCGUGCUAUAUACACGAUUCACUUCUUCAUGGCAUUGAAGAUUUUUCUUGUGUUUAGCAAUGGUUUCUAGAGAGCGACCCAACUCGACCGUCUGUGCCAGCGUCAGAGGUGGUUUGGUUAAUCUCUUUCCCCUUGUCGUAUUCACAAAGAUUUCCCUGCUCACGAAGACGCAACACAAACUUUUCAAUGGACUCAUCAGGUACCUGUUCCAAAUUGCUGAAUAUGUGUCUCUCCCUUGAUAUCUGAUCCUGCUGGUAUUAUUACUUUUUGCUCUCCACGAAGAUUGAAAAAAAUAUCCUACACAUUACUGCCGGUAUAACGAAGAAGAUAAGAACGUUUUCGUACUGCUACAGUGACGUUGUUUACUUCGAGAAAAAUCUCAAAGCCUCUUUUCCAUUUCUUCCAUCUACUGGAUACAGUUGACGUGUCGCUUGGAUCGAAUUCGACUAUGUUUGCAUUUCCCGGAUUGUCCAUUACUGAUCUUCCGAUGGGCUCGUUUCACCCGUUUCGGGCACUGUUGUUAUAUUGUUUACUGUUCAGCAAAUUUCCCCUUUACUGACUAACUGUACUCAGUAUCACUUAGCUGUUUUUUUAGUUUCCCGUAUACAAUGCGA